rnacentral:rRNA from 1 species
UACAGAGGGUGCAAGCGUUGUUCGGAAUUAUUGGGCGUAAAGGGCGCGUAGGCGGUUCGGCAAGUCUCUAGUGAAAUCUCUGGGCUCAACUCAGAGUCUGCUGGGGAAACUGCCGGGCUUGAGUGUGGGAGAGGAGAGUGGAAUUUCCGGUGUAGCGGUGAAAUGCGUAGAUAUCGGAAGGAACACCUGUGGCGAAAGCGGCUCUCUGGACCACAACUGACGCUGGGGCGCGAAAGCUAGGGGAGCAAACAGG